rnacentral:ncRNA from 2 species
CUCUUAUCAAGAGAGGCUGAGGGAUGUGCCCGAUGAAGCCCGGCAACCAUCUUUUUUAGAAAAGGUGCCAAAUCACACAAAGCAAUGUGCUUCGAGAGAUGAGAG